ensembl:lncRNA
GUAAGCAUUCCCCUACAUUCUGGUUUGCCAUGCCAAUGGGUAUUUGUGUGUGUGUGUGUGUGUGUGUGUGUGUGUGUGUGUGUGUGUGUGUGUUUGUGUUGGAAUGAAUUCCAAUGGAACCUACCUUCCUCUGACAGUUCAAUUCUGGGCAUAAGCCAAAGAAGCAAAUGUUGUUUAUCAUUCCUAUUGUAUCAUGCAGGAUAUGAAAAUCUAAAUAACCCAGAAUUAAUUGCUCCUAAAUUUUGUUACCUCAAACUCUGCUCCCCUAGGUAUCUGUAUUUACCAUGCCGCAGCAUACUACCUCACACACCUCUCUUGUUACUGCACUAUGAAGUCCUGGGAGUUAUGGAGCCAAAUAUAUGUGAAGAAACUAGGAAACCACAAAGAGCAGUGAUGUUUGCAGGGCUGAAGCACACUGAGGAUUCUUCCCAUCCAGGGACCAAAGUGUCUGAUACGAUGGAUGGACUGGUUUCCUGGAUUGCCAAAGGUUUUCUGUUCCUUCAGAAUAAGACAAUGCAUGAGAUUAUGCAAGUUUUAUAGGGACAGUACAGCCAGAAGAAGAAGGUUGUCUGCUUCCAGUAUGGGUGCCAGUCUCUGGGAGGAGGGCUUGGCAAGUGCAUCAGUACUAAAAACAGAUCUGGGCCAGGGAUGACCUGAAAUGAGUGAUUAAUUAUCUGGCUGUGAUGGCUUUAAGCAAAUCAGCAAUUAUUUGGUGCUUCUCCCUUCAAGAGGUGGAGCUUUACUGUGCUCAACUGGAGUGUGGUUUGGACUUAGUGAAUCACUUCUACAGACGGAACCCAGAGCACUGAUCAUGGUCUAUCACCUAAGAGAUGAAUUUAUAAUUUUGUGGCUCAUGUUUUGGGCUCUCUCUCCAAUCACUGGCUCUCAGGGAGGCAAGCUGCCAUGUUGUGAAUAGCCCAGUGGAGUGACCUGCAGGACAAGGAACUUAGAUAUUCAGCCAACAGAUGGUGAAGAACUGAGGCCUACCUGCAACAACAUGAGUGAGCUUCGUAGCAGGUCCUCCGGCUCCACAUGACUGUAGGUCUGGCCAGAAGCUGGACUAUGACCGCUGAGCAAUCCUGAGCCAGAGCUGUCCAUCUAAGCUGCUCUCAGACCCUAACCCAUAGAAUCUGUGACAUAAUCAAUAUUGUAUUAAGAUGCUAAGAUUGGGAGUAAUUUUUACAUAUCUAUAGACAACUAAUAUACUGACCUAAGUUAUCCAGGAAAGGAAACAUGUAACAGGAACUGAAAGAAGGCAGCAUUUUUUGUAAUGUUGAUUUUUUUCACCUCCUUGAUCGGUUUAGUCUUAUCACAAAGUAUGAACAUUCACUUCCUAGAAGAGGUCCUUUUCAGCCUGCAAUUACAUAAAGACCCCCGGGAGUAUCUUUAUCCAUGCCCCAUACAGAGUUUGAUAUGGGUACAUAAGACACAUUUUCUACUCCAUUUACUCUAUUUAUUGAAAACUCAGAGGCCCAAACCAUACUCAUCUUAGUAAUUAUUUUCCCAUUGUGCCAUUAAUAAAGGAAAAAAGUACUUGCUGGUCUGGGAGAAG